AUUGAACGCUGGCGGCAUGCCUUACACAUGCAAGUCGAACGGCAGCACGGGAGCAAUCCUGGUGGCGAGUGGCGAACGGGUGAGUAAAGUAUCGGAACGUGCCCAGUCGUGGGGGAUAACGUAGCGAAAGUUACGCUAAUACCGCAUACGAUCUAUGGAUGAAAGCGGGGGAUCGCAAGACCUCGCGCGAUUGGAGCAGCCGAUAUCAGAUUAGGUAGUUGGUGGGGUAAAGGCUCACCAAGCCGACGAUCUGUAGCUGGUCUGAGAGGACGACCAGGCACACUGGGACUGAGACACGGCGCAGACUCCUACGGGAGGCAGCAGUGGGGAAUUUUGGACAAUGGGCGCAAGCCUGAUCCAGCCAUGCCGCGUGCAGGAUGAAGGCCUUCGGGUUGUAAACUGCUUUUGUACGGAACGAAAAGGUUUGACUUAAUACGUUGGACUCAUGACGGUACCGUAAGAAUAAGCACCGGCUAACUACGUGCCAGCCGCCGCGGUAA
rnacentral:rRNA from 1 species